rnacentral:lncRNA from 10 species
GGCAUGAGGAGCUGGGAGCUCACAGCAGUUGAGCAUGCAGUUGAGAGGAAGCUGCAGCCCUCCCUCCAAGAGACGGAGUAGCCUGCCAUGUUCUCCAGGGCACCAGGGAGUCCUGGAAGCUGUGAACUCCUGGGAAGCCCCAGUUGGGACUGAGCCACCAGAGAGGCAGUGUCUGGUGACCAGUGGCUCUUCCUAGGAUGCUUCCUUCUUCCUUGGUGGCCAAGUGUGAGGCCAGUAACUUUAACUGGAGCCCUGCCCUUUUCUGGGUGAAGGAGAGAGGACCCUAGCCUGCUAAUGGCUCCUGGAGCCUCACUUCAAUGCCACUGUCCCUCUCCUAUGGGAACACACAGUGACCACAGGGUUCCACAUAGUUUUCCUUCCUUGGAUAGAAAUCAAGAUGCUUGUCAUCUGUCAUCAACUCUUUCAGUGCCUGGCUGGGAAACCAUGUGGUCCCCAAACCAGAGGGUUACACUCAAUCAUCACAAAGGGUCUUGGUGUAUCAAAUAGCUGUGGUUCUUGGUGACCUGGGGAUCCCAAGACUUUCACCAAAGGUACGUUCGGAUGGUGCAUCUUGAUCUCCCAUGGUGGAGGAACACGUGAUUCUCCUGCAACAUCUCAAGACCCCAGUCACCAGGCAGCGUGAGAGAUUCAGAAGAAAAACAACUGGUCCUGCAGAAAUGGACAUACUGACCAGAUUCCUCUGAUCUGUAACCUCCUGACAAUAGCAAGGUCCCAGCUCCUCGCCCUGCCUCCCUCUUCUCUCCUUCCUGUCUCCUUCCUCCCAGAGCUUCUUGGUCCCCAAUUACUCAGAACUGCAGGAGGCCUGCCAGGGAAGAAAUUAGAGCUACACAUCAGCUAUUCUAUAUUUACCACCUGAUGGCUGAGGAGGAUCUAUCUUCUGCACAAUUAAAUGAAAAGAUUUUUAAUAUCGGCAGGCAAAGGACUCUAGCAACAAUGGAGAAUUAGGUUAGAGCCAGCAAUUGGAUUAGCGCCGAGCUGUAAGUGAAAUGAGGACUCAGACACGGGAGGGUCAUACUUCUCCUGGUGACAGGCCCUUCCUUGGUGUGGCGUGGGGAGGGUCUGGGAUGGCGAGGCCCAGGCUGGGUUCCUGAGCCUGGCCCAACCCCCAUCCCUGAGGACUAAAGGCUGGCAGGGGCAACCUCUCCCAGAAUCCUCUGCAGAAGAGGAGGCCCUCAGCCAGGUGCAGGGGCUGAGCAAACACAAGGGUUUUCAUGGAUGCCACCCUGGGGCCCCACAGACAGUCAGGAGCUGCAUCCCCAGCUGAGAAGUAGACCUCACCAACGUCCUUGAACUUCUCCCUAGUUCAGGCCCUCCUCACCUUUCACCAGGGCUGCUGCAGCCAUCCUACCACCUUGUCUCUCUCUCACCUUCCAGUCUGACCUGUGAGCAUACACAAAUCACCCUUCCCUAAGCCAGCCUCCUUCCCUGAAGUGUAGCGGAGAAAUUCAAGGGCACACAGGUUCCCAUGUGACAGUUAUUGAGGGCACAGCAAAGAUGCCACAGUUGGAGAGGGUGCAGACAAACAACUAUCCCUUCCCUUUUUCCCUCAAUUUUGCACUGAGUUAUUUUUUCAAGAUUUAUUAAAUGUGAAAUGCAUGAAUGCACCCUGUCUUUGCUAGGUAUGUGUUUGGGGACAAAUUCCAGCACUGCCUAGGGAGAGAUGGCACAUGCAUCUCACGUUGUUUCUGGCUGCCAUCUACCUUUGCUAGGCCACUGCUGCUGUCCUGACAUAGCAAACUCAAAUUCCUGGCUAGAAACUAGGGCAAGUCUUUCCCAUCAGCUUCCUGGAGGUGGGUGUCAUGCUUCCCAUUCCAAACAGAGCCCUGGGAGGUAUCCAGUCUGACCCUGCCUCCUGAAAACAUGCAAGCUCCUGUCCUGUUUGUGCAGAGCUCCAGAAGGGAAGACUCCACAGCCAACUGGAUCUCUCCUAGUCACAUUCCUCUUUCUCACUGACACUAACAAGUUAGCCUGCUAUUGUUCCAUGGAUGCCAGCCAAAGAUACAAGAUUCCUGGGUCAGAGACAAAGGACUUCAUCACUCACAGCAAAAGCACUAGCCAGAGCUGCAUAGGAUUGCUUCGGUUCUCCGACAUCACCCAAGUCCC